ACAUGGCUCUUUGCUAGUUUGAAAAAAUAAGAAUAGAGAGUCUGACCUGCCCGGUGAUGUAGGAAUUAAACGGCCGCAGUACCCUGACUGUGCAAAGGUAGCAUAAUCAUUUGCCUUUUAAUUGAGGGCUAGUAUGAAAGGUUUGACGUGGACUAAGCUGUCUCCUGAGGAUUAUAUAGAAAUUAAUUUUUAGGUGAAAAAGCCUAAAUUUAACUAUGGGACGAGAAGACCCCAUUGAGCUUUAAUUAAACUUUGAAAUAGGAAAAACAAUGAUGUGUAUUGAACUAAUUUCUAAGGUAUUUUUAGUGGGGGAAAACGGAGGAAUAUAAGAAGCUUCCUCUUUUUAGCAUGGAUUGAGUUAUUUGUAUUUGAAAAUAAAUAAAAAAUUAUGUUUUUGGUAAAGCUGGCAUGUGAUGGUUUGAUAGAAGGAUCCGUUGAARUAAAUUUAAUGAUUAAGGGAAAGAGUUACCAUGGGGAUAACAGCGUAAUUUCUUCUGGAGAGUUCAUAUUGAAAGAGGGGUUUGCGACCUCGAUGUUGGAUUAAGACAUCCUGAGGGUGUAGCAGCUCUUAAGGGUUGGUCUGUUCGACCAUAAAAGUCUUACGUGAUCU
rnacentral:rRNA from 1 species